UGCGGCGUAAUUGUGUCGGCAAAUGAAAA
rnacentral:sRNA from 1 species